CGAAUCGGCGAUAAGGCUGGCGGCGUAUUUCAGCGCUCGGAAGUCGGCACAGUCGGCAGGUCGAUAAAACGUCACACACAUUUGGCACACGUAUCGAACGGCAACGAUGACUUUGACAUUCCCUGCCCGAUAAUGGGCAACUUGAUUAGCCAGGCCCAAUUGCAGCAGCAGCAGCGAGCGGAUAGCACAGACAGCAUCGAGCGCCAUAAAUUCAAAACGCACUGCAUGGAGACAAAUUUUGAAAAUAAUUUGACUUGUUGUUGUUGCUGUUGUUGUUGUGGGUUUUUGGCAAAAGGAACGCCACCAUAAAGAUAAACUCUAACAUGCUUUAUACAUCAUUAAACAUUCCUGCACAGCCGCCAAUUUGGCUUUUUAUUGGCUGCCCCAGACGCGAGUUUCUGCUCGUCGCCGGCUGAGGCAACGAGACGGCAUGAGCUGGAAUCAGCUGAAACGAGAUGGGCCACUGAUGCCUGCCUGGGCUAGGGAACGCGAGCUUUCGGUGAUUUAUAUUUGACAGAGCUGCGGUAUUUGAUUCUGAUUCGAGUUUGAGUUCGUGUUCUUUUUUUUUUUUCUUUUUUUCUUUUUUGUGGGGUUCGUGUUGCUUUAUGUUUGUGGCUCUGGCUGUGGCUGUGCUUUUUAUAUGCACCCACUUUUAUCGUUAAAGUGGCGUGCCACAGCUACACGAGACUCGAUAAAUGUCACUGAUAUUUAAUUAAGUCUGGUUCGCAUAUGGAAGGCGCUUAAAUAAAUGUUAUGGCCAGCGGGCAUAUACCCGCACCUGUUUAAAAUUAAGGGGUAUAUUAGCUUCAUUGCACGAAGUUAUAUAUAUGUUAUAUAUAUGCAUAAAUAUGCACAAGUAUUAAUACCAUUUAUGUUUACAAAAGUAAAUAAAUUGAAGAGAAGUUCUAAUUCGAAUAUGGAAGAACGCAUAUAUGUAGUCUACAUCCUUAAUAGUUUCACAUGCUUCAAGUACAUACAAUAUAUGGUCAAGCAGACUGCUUUUUUUCUACCCUUCUACCUUUACUCUCAGUUAACUUGACAGACAAUGAAAUGAAAUGGAAACGUAAAAGAGUGUAUUCACAAAGCGUUUUUAACUGCAUUUCAACGAUGAGAUGAGUGGAUUCGCAACGUCAGAGGGCGCCACACGUUGGUAUUGUUAACCCCCAUUAAAUUGGCCAAGCGGCCAUUUGGCGAGAUGUGUGAAGGUGGCUGCUCGAUGACUGCUCGCAUUCCAAGCGCUGACUCAACGCCCAUAAACCCCGUAAUUUACAACGUUUGGCGAACUGGCCAGGGCACGCCGAAUGGAGAGUAUCUGAAGAAUCUGCGCUACCGCUGCACGCGCCAUAAAUAUGUGUUAAGUAGGGGCAGCCGCAUAACUUAUAUCGAAAACUUGUGUUCAUAACAAUUUAAUUUUGCUUUUGUUUCAACUGGAGCUGAAAUCGCGCGUGAAGAACGAAUCGUUGCCAUAGCCACAAAAAAAAAAAAAAAAUAUUAAAAAAACAAAAAAAAAAAAC